CGGGAGCUUGCUCCCGGAUGUUAACGGCGGAAGGGUGAGUAACACGUGGGUAACCGGCCUGUGAGACUGGGAUGACUCCGGGAAACCGGAGCUAAUACCGGAUAGUUCCUUGAAGCGGAGGGUUCAAGGAUGAAAGACGGUUUCGGCUGUCACUUACAGAUGGACCCGCGGCGCAUUAGCUAGUUGGUGGGGUAAUGGCUCACCAAGGCGACGAUGCGUAGCCGACCUGAGAGGGUGAUCGGCCACACUGGGACUGAGACACGGCCCAGACUCCUACGGGAGGCAGCAGUAGGGAAUCUUCCGCAAUGGACGAAAGUCUGACGGAGCAACGCCGCGUGAGUGAUGAAGGUUUUCGGAUCGUAAAGCUCUGUUGUUAGGGAAGAACAAGUGCGAGAGUAACUGCUCGCACCUUGACGGUACCUAACCAGAAAGCCACGGCUAACUACGUGCCAGCAGCCGCGGUAAUACGUAGGUGGCAAGCGUUGUCCGGAAUUAUUGGGCGUAAAGGGCUCGCAGGCGGUUUCUUAAGUCUGAUGUGAAAGCCCCCGGCUCAACCGGGGAGGGUCAUUGGAAACUG
rnacentral:rRNA from 1 species